rnacentral:tRNA from 1 species
GCGGGGAUAGCUCAGUUGGUAGAGCGCUAGCCUUCCAAGCUGGAUGUCGCGGGUUCGAGUCCCGUUCCCCGCUCCA